rnacentral:rRNA from 1 species
AACGAACGCUGGCGGCAUGCCUAACACAUGCAAGUCGAACGAGACCUUCGGGUCUAGUGGCGCACGGGUGCGUAACGCGUGGGAACCUGCCCUUAGGUUCGGAAUAACUCCCCGAAAGGGGUGCUAAUACCGGGUAAUGUCUGCGGACCAAAGAUUUAUCGCCUUUGGAUGGGCCCGCGUUGGAUUAGCUAGUUGGUAGGGUAAAAGCCUACCAAGGCGACGAUCCAUAGCUGGUAUGAGAGGAUGAUCAGCCACACUGGGACUGAGACACGGCCCAGACUACUACGGGAGGCAGCAGUGGGGAAUAUUGGAAAAUGGGCGAAAGCCUGAUCCAGCAAUGCCGCGUGAGUGAUGAAGGCCUUAGGGUUGUAAAGCUCUUUUACCCGGGAUGAUAAUGACAGUACCGGGAGAAUAAGCUCCGGCUAACUCCGUG